rnacentral:rRNA from 1 species
GACGAACGCUGGCGGCGUGCUUAACACAUGCAAGUCGAACGGAAAGGCCUCUUUCGGGGGGUACUCGAGUGGCGAACGGGUGAGUAACACGUGAGUAACCUGCCCUUGACUUUGGGAUAACUUCAGGAAACUGGGGCUAAUACCGGAUAGGAGCUCCUGCUGCAUGGUGGGGGUUGGAAAGUUUCGGCGGUUGGGGAUGGACUCGCGGCUUAUCAGCUUGUUGGUGGGGUAGUGGCUUACCAAGGCUUUGACGGGUAGCCGGCCUGAGAGGGUGACCGGCCACAUUGGGACUGAGAUACGGCCCAGACUCCUACGGGAGGCAGCAGUGGGGAAUAUUGCACAAUGGGUGGUAGCCUGAUGCAGCAACGCCGUGUGCGGGAUGACGGCCUUCGGGUUGUAAACCGCUUUCGCUCAUGACGAAGCUUUGUGUGACGGUAGUGGGUAAAGAAGCACCGGCUAACUACGUG